rnacentral:rRNA from 1 species
GCAAGUCGUGGGGCAGCAGGACUGUAGCAAUACAGUUGCUGGCGACCGGCAAACGGGUGCGGAACACGUACACAACCUUCCUUUAAGUGGGGAAUAGCCCGGGGAAACCCGGAUUAAUACCCCGUAAUAUAAUGAAGUGGCAUCACUUUAUUAUUAUAGCUCCGGCGCUUGAAGAUGGGUGUGCGACUGAUUAGGCAGUUGGCGGGGUAACGGCCCACCAAACCUACGAUCAGUAACUGGUGUGAGAGCACGACCAGUCACACGGGCACUGAGACACGGGCCCGACUCCUACGGGAGGCAGCAGUAAGGAAUAUUGGUCAAUGGACGCAAGUCUGAACCAGCCAUGCCGCGUGGAGGAUGAAGGUCCUCUGGAUUGUAAACUUCUUUUAUCUGGGAAGAAAUCCACGAAUUCUUUUGUGGUUGACGGUACCAGAUGAAUAAGCACCGGCUAACUCCGUGCCAGCAGCCGCGGUAAUACGGAGGGUGCAAGCGUUAUCCGGAUUCACUGGGUUUAAAGGGUGCGUAGGGUGGGUUGGUAAGUCAGUGGUGAAAUCUCCAGGCUUAACUUGGAAACUGCCAUUGAUACUAUCAAUCUUGAAUACCGUGGAGGUCAGCGGAAUAUGUCAUGUAGCGGUGAAAUGCUUAGAUAUGACAUAGAACACCAAUUGCGAAGGCAGCUGGCUACACGAAUAUUGACACUGAUGCACGAAAGCGUGGAGACCAAACAGGAUUAGAUACCCUGGUAGUCCACGCCCUAAACGAUGGAUACUCGACAUACGCGAUAUACUGUGUGUGUCUGAGCGAAAGCAUUAAGUA